rnacentral:pre_miRNA from 1 species
GGGUAGAAUGAAACCCAAUGCAUGUGGUAGCAGAGUCACUUGGAUAAAAUCCCAGUAUUGGCCUAGAAUUCUAUCCAAGUGACUCUGCUACCAUGCAUGUCCCCGCAUUC